rnacentral:rRNA from 1 species
GGAGGGUGCAAGCGUUAUCCGGAUUCACUGGGUUUAAAGGGUGCGUAGGUGGGUUGGUAAGUCAGUGGUGAAAUCUCCGGGCUUAACUCGGAAACUGCCGUUGAUACUAUCAAUCUUGAAUGUUGUGGAGGUAAGCGGAAUAUGUCAUGUAGCGGUGAAAUGCUUAGAUAUGACAUAGAACACCGAUAGCGAAGGCAGCUUGCUACACAAUAAUUGACACUGAGGCACGAAAGCGUGGGGAUCAAACAGGAUUAGAUACCCUGGUAGUCCACGCCCUAAACGAUGGAUACUCGACAUACGCGAUACACAGUGUGUGUCUGAGCGAAAGCAUUAAGUAUCCCACCUGGGAAGUACGACCGCAAGGUUGAA